CGAGUGCCCCAAGCGUUAUCCGGAAUCAUUGGGCGUAAAGGGUGUGUAGGUUGCUUCAUUAGUCUUCUGUCAAAUUCUUCGGCUCAACCGGGGGUCCGCAGAAGAUACGGUGAAGCUAGAGGAUGUGAGAGGUGAAUGGAACUCGUGGUGUAGGGGUGAAAUCCGUUGAUAUCAUGGGGAACACCAAAAGCGAAGGCAAUUCACUGGCACAUUCCUGACACUGAAACACGAAAGCGUGGGUAGCGAAUGGGAUUAGAUACCCCAGUAGUCCACGCCCUAAACGAUCUUCUCUAGCUUUUCGGAGUAUCGACCCUCUGAGAGGCGUAGCUAACGCGUUAAGAGAAGCGCCUGGGUAGUACGGCCGCAAGGCUA
rnacentral:rRNA from 1 species